rnacentral:tRNA from 1 species
GCAGAGGUGGCGGAACGGCUACGCACCCGACUGCAGAUCGGGCGAACGGGGUUCAACUCCCCGCCUCUGCU